AUGAGGCGAACCGGGGGAACUGAAACAUCUAAGUACCCCGAGGAAAAGAAAUCAACCGAGAUUCCCCCAGUAGCGGMGAGCGAACGGGGAGGAGCCCAGAGCCUGAAUCAGCAUGUGUGUUAGUGGAAGCGUCUGGAAAGGCGCGCGAUACAGGGUGACAGCCCCGUACACAAAAGCGCAUGUGCUGUGAGCUCGAUGAGUAGGGCGGGACACGUGGUAUCCUGUCUGAAUAUGGGGGGACCAUCCUCCAAGGCUAAAUACUCCUGACUGACCGAUAGUGAACCAGUACCGUGAGGGAAAGGCGAAAAGAACCCCGGCGAGGGGAGUGAAAAAGAACCUGAAACCGUGUACGUACAAGCAGUGGGAGCACCCUUCGGGGUGUGACUGCGUACCUUUUGUAUAAUGGGUCAGCGACUUAUAUUCUGUAGCAAGGUUAACCGUAUAGGGGAGCCGGAGGGAAACCGAGUCUUAAUUGGGCGUUAAGUUGCAGGGUAUAGACCCGAAACCCGGUGAUCUAGCCAUGGGCAGGUUGAAGGUUGGGUAACACUAACUGGAGGACCGAACCGACUAAUGUUGAAAAAUUAGCGGAUGACCUGUGGCUGGGGGUGAAAGGCCAAUCAAACCGGGAGAUAGCUGGUUCUCCCCGAAAGCUAUUUAGGUAGCGCCUCGUGAAUUCAUCUCCGGGGGUAGAGCACUGUUUCGGCUAGGGGGCCAUCCCGGCUUACCAACCCGAUGCAAACUGCGAAUACCGGAGAAUGUUAUCACGGGAGACACACGGCGGGUGCUAACGUCCGUCGUGAAGAGGGAAACAACCCAGACCGCCAGCUAAGGUCCCAAAGUCAUGGUUAAGUGGGAAACGAUGUGGGAAGGCCCAGACAGCCAGGAUGUUGGCUUAGAAGCAGCCAUCAUUUAAAGAAAGCGUAAUAGCUCACUGGUCGAGUCGGCCUGCGCGGAAGAUGUAACGGGGCUAAACCAUGCACCGAAGCUGCGGCAGCGAACGUAUCACCCAAGACAACUUUACGGAGUUGACGAUUGACGGAGCGAAGCGACGUCAAAGCGUUCAUUAAAGUCGAGUUGGCUUAGGGAUACGUUCGUUGGGUAGGGGAGCGUUCUGUAAGCCUGUGAAGGUGUGUCGUGAGGCAUGCUGGAGGUAUCAGAAGUGCGAAUGCUGACAUAAGUAACGAUAAAGCGGGUGAAAAGCCCGCUCGCCGGAAGACCAAGGGUUCCUGUCCAACGUUAAUCGGGGCAGGGUGAGUCGACCCCUAAGGCGAGGCCGAAAGGCGUAGUCGAUGGGAAACGGGUUAAUAUUCCCGUACUUGGUGUUACUGCGAAGGGGGGACGGAGAAGGCUAUGUUGGCCGGGCGACGGUUGUCCCGGUUUAAGCGUGUAGGUGUGUGUUCCAGGUAAAUCCGGUUCACUUUAACACUGAGGCGUGACGACGAGGCACUACGGUGCUGAAGCAACAAAUGCCCUGCUUCCAGGAAAAGCCUCUAAGCAUCAGGUAACAUCAAAUCGUACCCCAAACCGACACAGGUGGUCAGGUAGAGAAUACCAAGGCGCUUGAGAGAACUCGGGUGAAGGAACUAGGCAAAAUGGUGCCGUAACUUCGGGAGAAGGCACGCUGACACGUAGGUGAAGUGAUUUACUCAUGGAGCUGAAGUCAGUCGAAGAUACCAGCUGGCUGCAACUGUUUAUUAAAAACACAGCACUGUGCAAACACGAAAGUGGACGUAUACGGUGUGACGCCUGCCCGGUGCCGGAAGGUUAAUUGAUGGGGUCAGCGCAAGCGAAGCUCCUGAUCGAAGCCCCGGUAAACGGCGGCCGUAACUAUAACGGUCCUAAGGUAGCGAAAUUCCUUGUCGGGUAAGUUCCGACCUGCACGAAUGGCGUAAUGAUGGCCAGGCUGUCUCCACCCGAGACUCAGUGAAAUUGAACUCGCUGUGAAGAUGCAGUGUACCCGCGGCAAGACGGAAAGACCCCGUGAACCUUUACUAUAGCUUGACACUGAACAUUGAGCCUUGAUGUGUAGGAUAGGUGGGAGGCUUUGAAGUGUGGACGCCAGUCUGCAUGGAGCCGACCUUGAAAUACCACCCUUUAAUGUUUGAUGUUCUAACGUGGACCCGUUAYCCGGGUUGCGGACAGUGUCUGGUGGGUAGUUUGACUGGGGCGGUCUCCUCCUAAAGAGUAACGGAGGAGCACGAAGGUUGGCUAAUCCUGGUCGGACAUCAGGAGGUUAGUGCAAUGGCAUAAGCCAGCUUGACUGCGAGCGUGACGGCGCGAGCAGGUGCGAAAGCAGGUCAUAGUGAUCCGGUGGUUCUGAAUGGAAGGGCCAUCGCUCAACGGAUAAAAGGUACUCCGGGGAUAACAGGCUGAUACCGCCCAAGAGUUCAUAUCGACGGCGGUGUUUGGCACCUCGAUGUCGGCUCAUCACAUCCUGGGGCUGAAGUAGGUCCCAAGGGUAUGGCUGUUCGCCAUUUAAAGUGGUACGCGAGCUGGGUUUAGAACGUCGUGAGACAGUUCGGUCCCUAUCUGCCGUGGGCGCUGGAGAACUGAGGGGGGCUGCUCCUAGUAC
rnacentral:rRNA from 1 species